rnacentral:rRNA from 1 species
AACGAACGCUGGCGGCAUGCCUAACACAUGCAAGUCGAACGAGACCUUCGGGUCUUUUUGCGCACGGGUGCGUACCGCGUGGGAACCUGCCCUUAGGUUCGGAAUAACUCCCCGAGAGGGGUGCUAAUACCGGAUAAUGUCUUCGCACCAAAGAUGUAUUGCCUUUGGAUGGGCGCGCGUUGGUUUAGCGAGUUGGUAGUGUAAUAGCCUACCAUGGCGACGAUGCAUAGCUGGUCGGAGAGGAUGACCAGCUGCACUGGAGCUGAGACACGGCCUAGAAUGGUACGCAACGGUGCAGAGGGGAAUAUUAGACGAUGAGCCAAAGUCUAAUCCAGCAAUGCCGCGGGAGUGAUGAAGGCGUUAGUGUUGUAAAGCUGUUUUAGACGGGACGAUAAUGACAGUACCGGGAGAAGAAGCACCGGCUAACUACGUG